rnacentral:rRNA from 1 species
AUGAUCUCUCAGCGCCUUUUCUUUCCCCGCUCCAGCUCGCUUGAGCUCCAGGCCUACUCUGAUGCUACCUGGGCUAGUGAUCCCUCUGAUCGUCGCUCGUUGUCUACUUAUUGUGUCUUUGUUGGUGGCUCUCUUAUUGCCUGGAAGACCAAGAAACAGACUGUAGUUUCUCGCUCGAGUACAGAGGCUGAGUUGCGAGCCAUGGCUAUGCUGAUGGCUGAGGUGAUCUGGUUACGGUGGCUACUUGGGGAUUUUGGUGUGUCUGCUACUACCUCGACUCCCUUAUUGUCAAAUAGUACUGGCACUAUCAGUAUUGCGCGUGACCCGGUGAAGCAUGAGCUCACCAAGCACAUAGGUGUGGAUGCCCACUUUGUGCGUGCUGCUGUGCAGGAUCAGAAUCUAGCUCUUCACUAUGUGCCCUCUGAGUUACAGUUGGUGGACUUCUUCACGAAGGCUAAGACUCGCGCGCAGCAUGGUUUUCUUCUCUCCAAACUCAGUGUUGUCGAUCCACCAUGA